rnacentral:rRNA from 1 species
GACGAACGCUGGCGGCAGGCUUAACACAUGCAAGUCGAACGAACUCUUCGGAGUUAGUGGCAGACGGGUGCGUAACACGUGGGAACCUACCCUAAGGUACGGAAUAACUCAGGGAAACUUGUGCUAAUACCGUAUAUGUCUUCGGAUGAAAGAUUUAUCGCCUUAGGAUGGGCCCGCGGCUGAUUAGUUUGUUGGUGGGGUAAAAGCCUACCAAGACUACGAUCAGUAGCUGGUCUGAGAGGAUGAUCAGCCACACUGGAACUGAGACACGGUCCAGACUCCUACGGGAGGCAGCAGUGAGGAAUAUUGGACAAUGGGGGCAACCCUGAUCCAGCCAUGCCGCGUGAGUGAUGAAGGCCUUAGGGUUGUAAAACUCUUUCGCUAGUGAAGAUAAUGACGGUAACUAGUAAAGAAGCCCCCGGCUAAUUUUCGUGCCAGCCGCCGCGGUAAU